rnacentral:rRNA from 1 species
UACGAAGGGAGCUAGCGUUUUUCGGAAUUACUGGGCGUAAAGCGCAUGUAGGCGGCCAAUUAAGUUGGAAGUGAAAUCCCAGGGCUUAACCCUGGAACUGCUUCCAAAACUGGUAGGCUAGAGAGUGAUAGAGGAUGGCGGAAUUCCUAGUGUAGAGGUGAAAUUCUUAGAUAUUAGGAGGAACAUCAAUGGCGAAGGCAGCCAUCUGGGUCAUUUCUGACGCUGAGAUGCGAAAGCGUGGGGAGCAAACAGG